rnacentral:rRNA from 1 species
UGCCAGCAGCCGCGGUAACACGUAGGGAGCAAGCGUUGUCCGGAUUUAUUGGGCGUAAAGAGCUCGUAGGCUGCUCAGUAAGUCGGGUGUGAAAUUUCAGGGCUUAACCCUGAAACGCCACCCGAUACUGCUGUGGCUAGAGUACGGUAGAGGAGUGUGGAAUUCCUGGUGUAGCGGUGAAAUGCGCAGAUAUCAGGAGGAACACCAACGGCGAAGGCAGCACUCUGGGCCGAUACUGACGCUGAGGAGCGAAAGCAUGGGGAGCAAACAGGAUUAGAUA